UACGGAGGGUGCAAGCGUUGCUCGGAUUUAUUGGGCGUAAAGGGUAGGUAGGUGGUCUCAUUUGUCUGAGGUGAAAGCCUUGAGCUUAACUCAAGAAGUGCCUCAGAAACGGUGAGACUGGAGUCCUGGAGAGGGUCGUGGAAUUCCCGGUGUAGCGGUGAAAUGCGUAGAGAUCGGGAGGAACACCAGAGGCGAAGGCGGCGACCUGGACAGGUACUGACACUCAACUACGAAAGCGUGGGGAGCAAACAGG
rnacentral:rRNA from 1 species